rnacentral:rRNA from 1 species
GUAGGUGGCAAGCGUUGUCCGGAAUUAUUGGGCGUAAAGCGCGCGCAGGCGGUCCUUUAAGUCUGAUGUGAAAGCCCACGGCUCAACCGUGGAGGGUCAUUGGAAACUGGGGGACUUGAGUACAGAAGAGGAAAGCGGAAUUCCAAGUGUAGCGGUGAAGUGCGUAGAGAUUUGGAGGAACACCAGUGGCGAAGGCGGCUUUCUGGUCUGUAACUGACGCUGAGGCGCGAAAGCGUGGGGAGCAAACAGGAUUAGAUACCCUGGUAGUCCACGCCGUAAACGAUGAGUGCUAAGUGUUAGGGGGUUUCCCGCCCCCCUUAGUGCUGCAACUAACGCAUUAAGCACUCCGCCUGGGGAGUACGGCCGCAAGGCUG